AGAGAGAGUUAACAUCUCUUUAAUCACCAGGGGAAAAAAAAUCAGUAAUUGUGUGUUGUUGUUGUUGUUUUUCAUCAUUACAGCUUAAGAAAUCUCUUAGGCCUUAUCCUUUUCUGUCAGUUUUAGGGACCAAAAAAAAAAAAAAACCUAGUACAAUUUGUAGGGCUCAGACAACAUGAUUUUAUAUUAUUAGGUUAAAAAUUAUGUUGAUUGCAACAUAAAAAGAUAAAAAAACGUGGACUUUACAAAUGCUUAUAGAUCAAUAAAAUCAUUAAAAAUGCUUUUUCGCCGAUGAUAUUCUGAUGAUAUUUUUUUCCAAGCACAUUUUACCAAUUCCAAAUCACAUCAAUCUUAAUAAAUACUAUACAUUUGUUAUUUAAUCAUUUAUGAGUGAUAUAUAAUUGUCCUUGAAGGCUGGAAGUGAAAAACUCCUUAUAUUCAGGAGUGCUGAAUUAUUAGGCAUGUUUUUUUGCCAUGCUUUGGUCAUAGAGCUCAUUGUAGCGGUGCCUCAGGUGUUGAAAUAGAUUUGUUAUACAUUAUACAGGUUCACACGUACUCCGUCUGCAUGCGUAUACAGUAUGUGUAUGCGAAGCAGCAGCGAGAGCGCGUUAUUGUAAUGCGAAAGCACAUUAAAAUAAUGCGCGAGCGCGAAUCUA
ensembl:lncRNA